GACGAACGCUGGCGGCGUGCUUAACACAUGCAAGUCGAACGGAAAGGCUCCAGCUUGCUGGAGGACUCGAGUGGCGAACGGGUGAGUAACACGUGGGUAAUCUGCCCUGCACUCAGGGAUAAGCCUGGGAAACUGGGUCUAAUACUGGAUAUGACCUCUCUUCUGAUGGGGCCCGGUGGAUAGUUUCUCGGUGUAGGAUGAGCCCGCGGCCUAUUAGCCUGUCGGUGGGGGGAAGGCCUACCAAGGCGACGACCGGGGGCCGGCCUGAGAGGGGGAUCGGCCACAUUUGGACUGCGACCCGGCCCCAACUGCGACGGGAGGCAGCAGUGGGGAAUAUUGGACGAGGGGCGCAAGCCUGAUCCAGCCAGGCCGCGGGAGUGAUGAAGGCCUUAGGGUUGUAAAGCCCUUGCACCGGAGAAGAUAAUGACGGUACCCGGAGAAGAAGCCCCGGCUAACUUCGUG
rnacentral:rRNA from 1 species